GGUAGGGUGGCCGAGCAGAGGCAAAUUGUAGCCUUGUUUACGGGGCCAGCCCCCCCCAGUCCC
rnacentral:tRNA from 1 species